ensembl:lncRNA
AUGGUAGAAGUGGGACAACUUGGAUCCCUGAAUGACCGUGUGGACCAGAGGCUUCCACCGUACCGCAGCACAAGCUCUCCUCUGAAGCGCUACCUCUGGAUGAAAGCACGGCGGUUACCAAGGACGGCGGAGGAGAUAUACACUUUCAGGAAGGUGGCAGAAAAGGGAAAAAAAAAAAUCUGUGUAUGUCCACCUGCACAGACCAGGAACUGCAGAAGCACAUGCCUCCCCUGUGUAACCUUGGAGGAGAGGCCCUCCUGGCAAGUGCCGCCCAUCAUCCAUCAGCCGCUGGAUUGCAAGGGAUGAGGGAGCCCAGGUAAGCAUGCCUUGACCUGUCAGGUAUGAAAUCAUCCGCCUGCCUGGAAGGCUCCAGUCUGUGACCACAAAACUGAGUUAAUAAGCAGGAGCCACGCUGAGGCGCCAAGACAGGCCCGGUUCCGGAAGUUUUAGGUACUUGUGUGUGGCGUGCCCGUAAACACAUGCACACACAUACAUUUAUUUAUAAACGUAUAUUUAAUUAAAGAAGAGGCUGCUUGCAUAAGGUGUUCACAGAGGUAAGUGAUGAGCUAAGUUUUACUAAUUUAAAAGCUUUGGGGGCAUGAACCUGCAGAAGAGUUGAGUAUGUGAAGCUAGCAUUUUAAACAUUAAAGAUGUUUUUUUAUACAGCAAGAGAGAUUUUGAACCUACUCACCACAGCGGAGGCUCCAGGAAGGGUAGGAGAGGACUGUAGAGGAGAAUGAUUUAUCUUGUUUAUCUCAGGGUGAGUCCUCGGGGUACAGGCUGGGUCCUGUCCACUGCACCACAGGUCCACGAAAUCUUUUGCCUCCAGCAGAGCUUCUUUGCAUCUCAAGGUCCCCGCGCAGAAGAGCUGCCUCUCCUAAAUUUUCUGAUUUACAGUGACUUGCUCAGUAGCAAUUAGGAACAGAAACAGAAAUAGCAAAAGCCAUUACUUUAUCGGCUCUAUACACUUCCAUCCUGUGGCGUAUAACAAAUCUACCUAAUUAUGCCCUUUGCGUGAGACAUUUUUGCUUUUAAAUAGAACACGAGCUCAAGCGUGCACGUCCUCAGUUUUUCUCUCUCCUCCUUUCAGGAGCAGGCUUCUCAAGAUAGUGGUCCGCACUUGCUGUCUGCAUGUACUAACUCUCAUUCCCUCCAGGGCCAAUUUCGGCCUGGCUUCUGGCCCUUUCAUCCCCACGCCCCGAACAGCUGUCAUGAGGACUCCAAAAAUUACAUAUCAUUGAUUGCAAUACACCCCCCCCUUUUUUUAAACUUUGUUUUUAUGGGAUUUCUUACCAACAUGGCCUCUUGGCCAUUUCCCCCAUGGCACAUCUCUGUCCUCUCUCAUUCUUCCUUAACUUUCCCUGUAACCUUUCCUGGGCUCAUCCUCCUCUGCCAGAUGGUUAUGUGUCAGAGGUGAGCAGGUCUUUUGUCCUGAGCCCUCUCUUGCUCUACCUCUGCCAAGUGUCCUCCCAAGCUACCUUACUCAAUCCCACACUUUCGUGGAGAAACGCCUGUUAAUGAUUCAUGUGGGAGAGUAACAGGAUGGAACCGUUAACCAGACGCUCAAUGUACCCAGUCCUCAUUACAUCCCUAGGAGGUAGAUCUUAAUAUUCUUAUUCCCCUUCAACAGAUAAGAAAACCAAGGCAUAUAAAGAUUAAGGAACUUGCCCAAGUUCAACAUCUCGGGUGUAGCAGAGAUAGGAUUUAAUCCCAUCCCUCUGUGCUCUUAAACUUUACACUCGUUACAUAAUCUCCUGAGCUCUGGAUCUGUUUAUGCACCUGCCUCUUUGUGUGUUUUCAAGCUCAACACACCUGAAACUAAAUAUAACGUUGGAAACUUGGUCCUUGUUAGGCAAUCCGUGUGCCUUUGGACGGCACCAUCUGUCAGAAACCCCAGAGUCAUUGCAGUCGUUCCACAGGCAUUGGAAUCAACACGCAUGGACACCUAAACUUGGCAGGAGGAGACACUGAACCAAUCCACAGGCUUUGACUCACUGCACUAGCACCACAGACCGUCUGAGGACCUACUAUUGAGUUUAGAGCAUCCUUCAGGUCACAAGACGGCACUGGAGCUGAAUGUUGCAGUGAAGUUUCGGGAGAAAAAAAAGACAGUGAAAAACAAGGCCAAGCAAAGUCUAGAGCUGAGACCUUGUCCCGAUGGAAAGUUUGAGAGAACAGCCCCCCAACUCCCACUUUCCACUUCUCCUGGUCAGGUGGACCCACUGUCCUUGCCUCUGUCUCGUUUAGAGUCACAGGUGUCCUGUGGUCGUCGUUGCUCUGUGGCAGACUUGACGUAUCUUUUCAUCACUCCAUGCCAUUUGAACCACCUUUGCUAGCUCCUCUGUACACCCCCAGACAACGGCAAAGUUCCCUUUUUAACAUUGGCCUGGGGUAGAAGGAAAUGGUCAGUAGCCAAGCAUUCUGGACCACGCAGCUCCAUCAUGAAAGGAUACAUAGUGACAUCAUAGAAAGGAAGGUUGGUGUAGGGCAUAGGACAGGAAGAUCCAAAGGACCCGUGUGGUUUGGCCAAGUGUGAUUAUUUUUUUUUUUAUGUACACCAGUACAAAAUACAGUUGCUAGAUAAAAUAUAAGGCACCCAUUUAAAUUUGAAUUUCACAUAAAUAUGGAACAUACACCGAAAAAAAUUAUGUGUUGUUUAUCUGACAUUCAAAUUUAACUGAGUAUCCCGUGGUGGUUUUAUUUGCCAAGUAUGGCAACCUUAGUACAAAGUAAUCCCUGUGUCAUAUAUGGGCUUCCAGUACCUGAUUGUCUGUGCAGUACACGAUUGAUCCCAGUGGUCAGGAAUAAAUAUGUAAUGAUAAUGUUUCUCUAGGACCA